rfam:TPA: Bos taurus chromosome 15, whole genome shotgun sequence.
UCCCUUGUGGCUCAGCCGGUAAAGAAUCUGCCUGCAAUGCAGGAGACCUGGGUUCAAUCCCUGGGUUGGGAA